rnacentral:rRNA from 1 species
AAAUUGAAGAGUUUGAUCAUGGCUCAGAUUGAACGCUGGCGGCAGGCCUAACACAUGCAAGUCGAACGGUAACAGGAAGCAGCUUGCUGUUUCGCUGACGAGUGGCGGACGGGUGAGUAAUGUCUGGGAAACUGCCUGAUGGAGGGGGAUAACUACUGGAAACGGUAGCUAAUACCGCAUAACGUCGCAAGACCAAAGAGGGGGACCUUCGGGCCUCUUGCCAUCGGAUGUGCCCAGAUGGGAUUAGCUUGUUGGUGGGGUAACGGCUCACCAAGGCGACGAUCCCUAGCUGGUCUGAGAGGAUGACCAGCCACACUGGAACUGAGACACGGUCCAGACUCCUACGGGAGGCAGCAGUGGGGAAUAUUGCACAAUGGGCGCAAGCCUGAUGCAGCCAUGCCGCGUGUAUGAAGAAGGCCUUCGGGUUGUAAAGUACUUUCAGCGGGGAGGAAGGGAGUAAAGUUAAUACCUUUACUCAUUGACGUUACCCGCAGAAGAAGCACCGGCUAACUCCGUGCCAGCAGCCGCGGUAAUACGGAGGGUGCAAGCGUUAAUCGGAAUUACUGGGCGUAAAGCGCACGCAGGCGGUUUGUUAAGUCAGAUGUGAAAUCCCCGGGCUCAACCUGGGAACUGCAUCUGAUACUGGCAAGCUUGAGUCUCGUAGAGGGGGGUAGAAUUCCAGGUGUAGCGGUGAAAUGCGUAGAGAUCUGGAGGAAUACCGGUGGCGAAGGCGGCCCCCUGGACGAAGACUGACGCUCAGGUGCGAAAGCGUGGGGAGCAAACAGGAUUAGAUACCCUGGUAGUCCACGCCGUAAACGAUGUCGACUUGGAGGUUGUGCCCUUGAGGCGUGGCUUCCGGAGCUAACGCGUUAAGUCGACCGCCUGGGGAGUACGGCCGCAAGGUUAAAACUCAAAUGAAUUGACGGGGGCCCGCACAAGCGGUGGAGCAUGUGGUUUAAUUCGAUGCAACGCGAAGAACCUUACCUGGUCUUGACAUCCACGGAAGUUUUCAGAGAUGAGAAUGUGCCUUCGGGAACCGUGAGACAGGUGCUGCAUGGCUGUCGUCAGCUCGUGUUGUGAAAUGUUGGGUUAAGUCCCGCAACGAGCGCAACCCUUAUCCUUUGUUGCCAGCGGUCCGGCCGGGAACUCAAAGGAGACUGCCAGUGAUAAACUGGAGGAAGGUGGGGAUGACGUCAAGUCAUCAUGGCCCUUACGACCAGGGCUACACACGUGCUACAAUGGCGCAUACAAAGAGAAGCGACCUCGCGAGAGCAAGCGGACCUCAUAAAGUGCGUCGUAGUCCGGAUUGGAGUCUGCAACUCGACUCCAUGAAGUCGGAAUCGCUAGUAAUCGUGGAUCAGAAUGCCACGGUGAAUACGUUCCCGGGCCUUGUACACACCGCCCGUCACACCAUGGGAGUGGGUUGCAAAAGAAGUAGGUAGCUUAACCUUCUGGAGGGCGCUUACCACUUUGUGAUUCAUGACUGGGGUGAAGUCGUAACAAGGUAACCGUAGGGGAACCUGCGGUUGGAUCACCUCCUUA